rnacentral:rRNA from 1 species
AGUGAACGCUGGCGGUAGGCCUAACACAUGCAAGUCGAACGGCAGCACAGUAAGAGCUUGCUCUUACGGGUGGCGAGUGGCGGACGGGUGAGGAACACAUCGGAAUCUACUUUUUCGUGGGGGAUAACGUAGGGAAACUUACGCUAAUACCGCAUACGACCUACGGGUGAAAGCAGGGGAUCUUCGGACCUUGCGCGAUUGAAUGAGCCGAUGUCGGAUUAGCUAGUUGGCGGGGUAAAGGCCCACCAAGGCGACGAUCCGUAGCUGGUCUGAGAGGAUGAUCAGCCACACUGGAACUGAGACACGGUCCAGACUCCUACGGGAGGCGGCAGUGGGGAAUAUUGGACAAUGGGCGCAAGCCUGAUCCAGCCAUACCGCGUGGGUGAAGAAGGCCUUCGGGUUGUAAAGCCCUUUUGUUGGGAAAGAAAAGCAGCAGGUUAAUACCCCGCUGUUCUGACGGUACCCAAAGAAUAAGCACCGGCUAACUUCGUG